rnacentral:rRNA from 1 species
GUGCAGCAGGCGCGAAACCUCCGCAAUACACGAAAGUGUGACGGGGCCAUCCCGAGUGCCGUUCGCUGAGGACGGCUUUUCUCCAGUGUACACAGCUGGGGGAAUAAGGAGAGGGCAAGCCUGGUGUCAGCCGCCGCGGUAAUACCAGCUCUCCGAGUGGUGGGGACGCUUAUUGGGCCUAAAGCAUCCGUAGCCGGCUGGGCAAGUCCUCCGUUAAAUCCAACGAUUCAAUCGUUGGGCUGCGGGGGAUACUGUCCAGCUUGGGGGCGGAAGAGGCCGACGGUAUUCCCGGGGUAGGGGUGAAAAUCCUAUAAUCCCGGGAGGACCACCAGUGGCGAAGGCUGUCGGCUAGAACGCGCCCGACGGUGAGGGAUGAAAGCUGGGGGAGCGAACCGGAUUAGAUACCCGUGUAGU